rnacentral:rRNA from 1 species
CCUACGGGUGACAGCAGUGAGGAAUAUUGGUCAAUGGGCGCGAGCCUGAACCAGCCAAGUAGCGUGAAGGAUGACUGCCCUACGGGUUGUAAACUUCUUUUAUAAAGGAAUAAAGUGAUGCACGUGUGCCUUUUUGUAUGUACUUUAUGAAUAAAGAUCUGCUAACUCCGUGCCAGCAACCGCGGUAAUACGGAGGAUCCGAGCGUUAUCCGGAUUUAUUGGGGUUAAAGGGAGCGUAGAUGGGUUGUUAAGUCAGUUGUGAAAGUUUGCGGCUCAACCGUAAAAGUGCACUCGAUACUGGAAGGCUUGAGUACAGGUGAGGUAGGCGGAAUUCGUGGUGUAGCGGUGAAAUGCUUAGAUAUCACGAAGAACCCCGAUUGCGAAGGCAGCUUACUAAACUGCCACUGACAUUGAUGCUCGAAAGUGUGGGUAUCAAACAGGAUUAGAUACCCCGGUAGUC